rnacentral:rRNA from 1 species
UACGUAGGGUGCGAGCGUUGUCCGGAAUUAUUGGGCGUAAAGAGCUCGUAGGCGGUCUGUCGCGUCGGUCGUGAAAACUUGGGGCUUAACCCUGAGCUUGCGGUCGAUACGGGCAUGACUGGAGUUCGGUAGGGGAGACUGGAAUUCCUGGUGUAGCGGUGAAAUGCGCAGAUAUCAGGAGGAACACCGGUGGCGAAGGCGGGUCGCUGGGCCGAUACUGACGCUGAGGAGCGAAAGCGUGGGGAGCGAACAGG